GGCGCGAUACCCAAGUGGUAAGGGGGCGGUCUGCAAAACCGCCAUACGUCGGUUCGAUUCCGACUCGCGCCU
rnacentral:tRNA from 1 species